rnacentral:rRNA from 1 species
UACGUAGGGGGCAAGCGUUGUCCGGAUUCAUUGGGCGUAAAGAGCGUGUAGGCGGCCAGGUAGGUCGGUUGUGAAAACUGGAGGCUCAACCUUCAGACGUCGACCGAAACCAUCUGGCUAGAGUCCGGGAGAGGAGAGUGGAAUUCCUGGUGUAGCGGUGAAAUGCGCAGAUAUCAGGAGGAACACCAAUGGCGAAGGCAGCUCGCUGGGACGUGACUGACGCUGAGACGCGAAAGCGUGGGGAGCAAACAGG